rnacentral:piRNA from 1 species
AAGUUUGAGAAGCGGACCAUGUCAG